AUGACGCAUAGAGGUUGUCUAUGCCCACUCGCUCCAAAAGUGAAGCACAUAGCUCCAACAACCUUGCUGGUGCUUGGUUUUACCGGGGGUGGUCACUAUGGGCAAUCUAGCCGAGAUAAAGAGGUUAAGGAAAGGAGCAGAAGCUCUGGUGUCUUGAGGGAGAAGCUUGAUGAGGUAAAAACAAAGAAGGAGAUCGUGUCUAACAUGCUGAGAAUGUGGAAGGCGUUGGAAGAUGAGAGGAAGCAAGAGAAGUUAGCAAGGUGGCAGAAGGGAACUGCGGGGGUGGGCAUGAUUCUGCGCGGCUCCGCCGGUGACAUCAUUUUCUCAUCCUAUAGAGAGUUGCACACGUGUACAGAGCCAUUGGAGGCUGAGCUCUCAGCUUGCAUGGAGGGCAUCAACUUUGCCCUGCAAUGGACGGAGAUGCCGAUAGAAGUAGAGACGGACUGCCUUGUCGCGCUUAACAUGAUUAAUGGCCCGGACAGGGACCGGUCUCGCUAUACCAUGUUGGUUGAUCAAAUUCAAAGGAUUUUGAGGGAAGAGAGGAUGUUCAAGCUGUCUCAUGUUUGUAGGGAACAGAAUGGUGCAAGCCAUUAUCUGGCCUCCUUUGGACGGACAAAAGGUCGCACUAUGGUGUGGUUGGGUUGGGGACCAGGAGAUGUCCCUGAUAUUUGUACGAAUGACUUAUGUCUUGAUUGA
rnacentral:rRNA from 1 species